rnacentral:tRNA from 1 species
GCUCCCGCAGCUCAAUUAGAUAGAGUAUCUGGCUUCGAACCGAUGGGCUGUGCGUUCAAGUCGUACCGGGGGCC